rnacentral:rRNA from 1 species
CCCUUAGAUGUUCUGGGCCGCACGCGCGCUACACUGAUGCAUUCAACGAGUCUACAACCUGGUCUGAUAGGGCUGGGUAAUCUUUUGAAUGUGCAUCGUGAUUGGGAUAGAUGAUUGCAAUUCUUCAUCUUCAACGAGGAAUGCCUAGUAAACGCAAGUCAUCAGCUUGCAUUGAUUACGUCCCUGCCCUUUGUACACACCGCCCGUCGCUCCUACCGAUUGAACGAUCCGGUGAAUUAUUUGGAGUAGCUCUGGAAGUUGCAGAACUUCCUAUGUCACGAAAUUUUGUAAACCUUAUCGUUUAGAGGAAGGAAAAGUCGUAACA